rnacentral:rRNA from 1 species
GACGAACGCUGGCGGCGUGCUUAAUACAUGCAAGUCGAACGGAAAGGCCCUGCUCUUGUGGGGCGCUCGAGUGGCGAACGGGUGAGUAACACGCGAGUAACCUGCCCUUGAAUUUGGGAUAUCUUCAGGGAACUGGGGCUCAUAUCGGAUAGGAGCUCCUGCUGCACGGUGGGGGUUGGAAAGUUUCGGCGGUUGGGGAUGGACUCGCGGCUUAUCAGCUUGAUGGUGGGGUAGUGGCUUACCAAGGCUUCGACGGGUAGCCGGCCUGGGAGGGUGACCGGCCACAAUGGGACUGAGGUACGGCCCAGACUCCUACGGGAGGCAACAGUGGGGAAUAUUGCGCAAUGGGCCGAAGCCAGAUGUAGCAACGCCGCGUGCGGGAUGACGGCCUUCGGGGUGUAAACCGCUUUCGCCUUUAACGAAGCGUGAGUGACGGUAAUGAGUAAGGAAGCACCGGCUAACUACGUG